UACGGAGGAUGCAAGCGUUAUCCGGAAUGAUUGGGCGUAAAGCGUCCGCAGGUGGCUAUGUAAGUCUGCUGUUAAAGAGUGAGGCUCAACCUCAUAAGAGCAGUGGAAACUACAUGACUAGAGUGCGUUCGGGGCAGAGGGAAUUCCUGGUGUAGCGGUGAAAUGCGUAGAUAUCAGGAAGAACACCGGUGGCGAAAGCGCUCUGCUAGGCCGCAACUGACACUGAGGGACGAAAGCUAGGGGAGCGAAUGGG
rnacentral:rRNA from 1 species